UCCUGGCUCAGGAUGAACGCUAGCGGCAGGCUAACACAUGCAAGGUCGAGGGGCAGCGCGGGGUAGCAAUACUCUGGCGGCGACCGGCGAAAGGGUGAGUAACGCGUGAGCAACGUGCCCGUAUGUGGGGGAUAGUCGAUGGAAACGUCGCGUAAUACCCCGUAACACACGGUCUCGCAUGGGACUGUGUUGAAAGAUUUGAUUGCAUACGGAUCGGCUCGCGUGCCAUUAGGUAGACGGCGGGGUAACGGCCCACCGUGCCGACGAUGGCUAGGGGUUCUGAGAGGAAGGUCCCCCCACAUUGGAACUGAGACACGGUCCAGACUCCUACGGGAGGCAGCAGUGAGGAAUAUUGGACAAUGGCCGGAAGGCUGAUCCAGCCAUGCCGCGUGCGGGAAGGCCGGCCCUAUGGGUUGUAAACCGCUUUUGCGGGGGAGCAAUAAGGUGCACGCGUGCACCGAUGAGAGUACCCUGCGAAUAAGCAUCGGCUAACUCCGUGCCAGCAGCUGC
rnacentral:rRNA from 1 species